ensembl:snRNA U6 U6 spliceosomal RNA
GUGCUCUCUUCAGCAGCACAUAUAUGAAAAUUGGAACAAUACAGAGAAAAUUAACAUGGCUCCUACACAAAAAUGUCAUGCAAGUUUGUAAAGCAUUCUAUAUUUUU